GAUGAACGCUAGCUACAGGCUUAACACAUGCAAGUCGCGGGGCAGCAUGAAUUUAGCUUGCUAAAUUUGAUGGCGACCGGCGCACGGGUGAGUAUCGCGUAUCCAACCUUCCCAUAUCCACGGGAUAGCCUGCCGAAAGGCAGAUUAAUACCGUAUGUUGUCGCACGCUGGCAUCAAAAUGCGACGAAAGGCUUAGCGGAUAUGGAUGGGGAUGCGUCCGAUUAGCUUGACGGCGGGGUAACGGCCCACCGUGGCGACGAUCGGUAGGGGUUCUGAGAGGAAGGUCCCCCACAUUGGAACUGAGACACGGUCCAAACUCCUACGGGAGGCAGCAGUGAGGAAUAUUGGUCAAUGGGCGGAAGCCUGAACCAGCCAAGUAGCGUGCAGGACGACGGCCCUAUGGGUUGUAAACUGCUUUUAUGCGGGAUAAAGUAUGGGACGUGUCCCAUUUUGCAGGUACCGCAUGAAUAAGGACCGGCUAAUUCCGUGCCAGCAG
rnacentral:rRNA from 1 species